rnacentral:rRNA from 1 species
GACGAACGCUGGCGGCGUGCUUAACACAUGCAAGUCGAACGGAAAGGCCCUGCUUUUGUGGGGUGCUCGAGUGGCGAACGGGUGAGUAACACGUGAUUAACCUGCCCUUGACUUUGGGAUAACUUCAGGAAACUGGGGCUAAUACCGGAUAGGAGCUCCUGCUGCAUGGUGGUGGUUGGAAAGUUUCGGCGGUUGGGGAUGGACUCGCGGCUUAUCAGCUUGUUGGUGGGGUAGUGGCUUACCAAGGCUUUGACGGGUAGCCGGCCUGAGAGGGUGACCGGCCACAUUGGGACUGAGAUACGGCCCAGACUCCUACGGGAGGCAGCAGUGGGGAAUAUUGCACGAUGGGCGGAAGCCUGAUGCAGCAACGCCGCGUGCGGGAUGACGGCCUUCGGGUUGUAAACCGCUUUCGCCUGUGACGAAGAGUGAGUGACGGUAAUGGGUAAAGAAGCACCGGCUAACUACGUG